rnacentral:rRNA from 1 species
UCAGGACGAACGCUGGCGGCGUGCUUAACACAUGCAAGUCGAACGGGGAUAACCGAGCGGAAGGCUUCGGCUGGAAGGUGGUAUUCGAGUGGCGGACGGGUGAGUAACGCGUGAACAAUCUGUCCCGGACAGGGGGAUAACACUUGGAAACAGGUGCUAAUACCGCGUAAGACCACGGAGGGGCAUCCCUUUGGGGUAAAAGGAGCAAUCCGGUCUGGGGUGAGUUCGCGUCCGAUUAGCCAGUUGGUGAGGUAACGGCCCACCAAAGCGACGAUCGGUAGCCGACCUGAGAGGGUGAUCGGCCACAUUGGAACUGAGAGACGGUCCAAACUCCUACGGGAGGCAGCAGUGGGGAAUAUUGGGCAAUGGGCGAAAGCCCUGACCCAGCGACGCCGCGUGAGGGAAGAAGGUCUUCGGAUUGUAAACCUCUGUUGACAGGGACGAAGCAUGACGGUACCUGUCGAGGAAGCCACGGCUAACUACGUGCCAGCCGCCGC